AAAGGAAUUGACGGGGGCCCGCACAAGCAGUGGAUUAUGUGGUUUAAUUCGAAGCAACGCGAAGAACCUUACCAGGUCUUGACAUCGAGUGACGUUCCAAGAGAUUGGAAUUUCCUUCGGGACACGAAGACAGGUGGUGCAUGGUUGUCGUCAGCUCGUGUCGUGAGAUGUUGGGUUAAGUCCCGCAACGAGCGCAACCCUUGCCAUUAGUUGCUACGCGAGAGCACUCUAAUGGGACCGCUACCGACAAGGUGGAGGAAGGUGGGGAUGACGUCAAAUCAUCAUGCCCCUUAUGACCUGGGCUACACACGUAAUACAAUGGCCGUCAACAGAGGGAAGCCAAACCGCGAGGUGGAGCAAAACCCCAAAAACGGUCUCAGUUCGGAUCGCAGGCUGCAACCCGCCUGCGUGAAGCUGGAAUUGCUAGUAAUCGCGGAUCAGCAUGCCGCGGUGAAUACGUUCCCGGGCCUUGUACACACCGCCCGU
rnacentral:rRNA from 1 species